rnacentral:rRNA from 1 species
CCAUUUGACCUCAAAUCAGGUAGGACUACCCGCUGAACUUAAGCAUAUCAAUAAGCGGAGGAAAAGAAACUAACAAGGAUUCCCCUAGUAACUGCGAGUGAAGCGGGAAAAGCUCAAAUUUAAAAUCUGGUAGUCUCUGGCUGCCCGAGUUGUAAUCUGGAGAAGUGUUUUCUGUGCUGGGCCGUGUACAAGUCUCUUGGAAUAGAGCGUCAUAGAGGGUGAGAAUCCCGUCUUUGACACGGACAUCCAGUGCUCUGUGAUGCACUCUCAAAGAGUCGAGUUGUUUGGGAAUGCAGCUCAAAAUGGGUGGUAAAUUCCAUCUAAAGCUAAAUAUUGGCAAGAGACCGAUAGCGAACAAGUACCGUGAGGGAAAGAUGAAAAGAACUUUGGAAAGAGAGUUAAACAGUACGUGAAAUUGUUGAAAGGGAAACGCUUGAAGUCAGUCGCGUCUAGCAAGGAUCAGCCUUUCUCGGAAGGUGUAUUUCUUGCUUGACGGGUCAACAUCAAUUUUGAYUACUGGAAAAAGGCCAGAGGAAGGUGGCACCUUCGGGUGUGUUAUAGCCUUUGGUC